UUAGUUCAGGGGUAGAUAAUCUCCCUACUAAAAAGCCCCUGCUAGGUGGGUAGGACUUUUGAAAAGUCCCGGGGCUUUUGGGGGGCAGUGCAGCAGGCUCCACAUUUCUGAUUGGUCCGGCAUUUGUAGCGUUUUCAUUGGACCUGCCAUGUUUAAAACACUGCAAGUCGUGCUGCAGUGUUUACUUCUACUUUUCUAUCGAAUUCACCAUGAGCGAGAAGAGAACCUACGACCGGUGGAGCGACGAGGAGGUGCAGGCCUUGCUUGCAGUGUACUCAGAGGAGGAGAUCCAGCGGGACUUGCUUACAGCUGUACGCAACAACAGAUUGUACACCAACAUCUCCAAAAGACUCACAGAUUUGGACAUUGUGCACACAGGGAAGCAGGUCCGCGAAAAACUUAAGAAACUGCGGCAAGACGACAAGAAAGUCAAGGACCAUAACAACCGUAGCGGGUCUGACCGGAGGACCAGCAAGUGGUUUGACCGCCUGGAUGCCUUCCUCGGAACGCGGCCAACCAGCACCACCGAAGUCUGUUGAGUGGAUUCGGCCGGCGAGGUGCUGGAGGCCAUGUCCGAGGAGGUGGACAGUGAGAGUCGGCUGACUGAAGAGCUGCCUUCAGGGGACACAGCGGCGAUUGUUAGCGUGUUCGCCCCACCAGCCAGCAGCAGCCCUCGUUCUGUGCCCUCAAUGGAUCGUCGAGGAAAGAGGAAAAGGGAUUGAGACACCAGCUUCCUCGACGCCCUGAGGGACAUGGAAUAGGCGAACCAGGCCGUCACACGGCAGGAGCAGUGUGAACGGCAGAUGCAGCUCCUGCUGGAGGGCCAGCUGCAGGACAUGGAGCUCAGGAGGCAGGAGCUUGCAUUUCUCCAGUCCAAGGCAGAGGAGAACAGGCGCAAACCCCACCGCCCCACCACCGGACUGAUAAUUACGCCGAUAAUUGCUACAAUUGCACUGCACAUUCUAAAUAU